CCUACGGGAGGCAGCAGUAGGGAAUAUUCCACAAUGGGCGAAAGCCUGAAGGAGCAACGCCGCGUGGAUGAAGAAGGUCUUCGGAUCGUAAAACCGUGUUGAUAGAGAAGAAAGUGCGUGCGAGUAACUGUUGACGUUUCGACGGUAUCUAAACAGAAAGCGACGGAUAACUACGUGCCAGCAGCCGCGGUAAUACGUAGGUGGCAAGCGUUAUCCGGAUUUAUUGGGAGUAAAGGGAACGCAGGCGGUCUUUUAAGUCUGCUGUGAAAGCCUUCGGCUUAACCGGAGUAUUGCAUUUGAAACUGGGGGACUUGAGUGCAGAAGAGGAUGGUGGAACUCAAGGUGUAGCGGUGAAAUGCUUAGAUAUAAGGAAGAACACCAGUGGCGAAAGCGACUGUCUGGGCUGUAACUGACGCUGAGGUUCGAAAGCGUGGGUAUCAAACAGGAUUAGAUACCCUAGUAGUC
rnacentral:rRNA from 1 species